rnacentral:rRNA from 1 species
CCUACGGGAGGCUGCAGUGGGGAAUAUUGCACAAUGGGGGAAACCCUGAUGCAGCGACGCCGCGUGAGUGAAGAAGCAUCUCGGUACGUAAAGCUCUAUCAGCAGGGAAGAAAAUGACGGUACCUGACUAAGAAGCCCCGGCUAACUACGUGCCAGCAGCCGCGGUAAUACGUAGGGGGCAAGCGUUAUCCGGAUUUAUUGGGUGUAAAGGGUGCGUAGGCGGGAGCAUAAGUCUGGGGGGAAAUCUCGGGGCUUAACCCCGGAACUGCCUUGGAACCUGUGCGCCUGGAGUGCGGGAGGGGAAGGCGGAAUGCGUAGUGUAGCGGUGAAAUGCGUAGAUAUUAGGAGGAACCCCGAUUGCGAAGGCAGCUUUCUGG